rnacentral:misc_RNA from 1 species
AACGGUCUAUACCUGCGGUACCUGCGGAGGGAUCAUUAUCCAAACUUUAAAAAAAUUAAAAGAGGAAAGAGACAAACACUGUCUUUUUUCUCUUUUCUUUUCAAACCCCUUGUGUGAAUCUUGCAUAUGUUGGGAUGGCGCGAAAACUAGCUUUUCCCGUCGUCUCAGACACACACCAAACCCUUUUUUAUUUGUCUGAAUGUGAAAAAUGUAAAAAACAACUUUUAACAAUGGAUCUCU